AMMAUGCAGUCGAGCGGUAACAUUUCUAGCUUGCUAGAAGAUGACGAGCGGCGGACGGGUGAGUAAUGCUUGGGAACAUGCCUUGAGGUGGGGGACAACAGUUGGAAACGACUGCUAAUACCGCAUAAUGUCUACGGACCAAAGGGGGCUUCGGCUCUCGCCUUUAGAUUGGCCCAAGUGGGAUUAGCUAGUUGGUGAGGUAAUGGCUCACCAAGGCAACGAUCCCUAGCUGGUUUGAGAGGAUGAUCAGCCACACUGGAACUGAGACACGGUCMARACUCCUACGGGAGGCAGCAGUGGGGAAUAUUGCACAAUGGGCGCAAGCCUGAUGCAGCCAUGCCGCGUGUGUGAAGAAGGCCUUCGGGUUGUAAAGCACUUUCAGUCAGGAGGAAAGGUUAGUCGUUAAUACCGGCUAGCUGUGACGUUACUGACAGAAGAAGCACCGGCUAACUCCGUGCCAGCAGCCGCGGUAAUACGGAGGGUGCGAGCGUUAAUCGGAAUUACUGGGCGUAAAGCGUACGCAGGCGGUUUGUUAAGCGAGAUGUGAAAGCCCCGGGCUCAACCUGGGAACUGCWUUUCGAACUGGCAAACUAGAGUGUGAUAGAGGGKGGUAGAAUUUCAGGUGUAGCGGUGAAAUGCGUAGAGAUCUGAAGGAAUACC
rnacentral:rRNA from 1 species